CGGGCUUGAGCGCAAGGAGCGGCUGCAGCCGGGCGGCUGGAGUCUGGACUUCGAAUCCGAGUCAGCCCACGAGGAGAUCUACUGGGGCUGCUUCUAUUUCUUCCCUUGGCUCCGAAUGUGCUGGCGAGAGAAAAGGGAACCGCCGUAAUCUGCCAAGCCACACGAAGGCUGUCGUGAUCCUGGUAGUGGGACGUUCACGGCUUGUCUACAGGUCAGCCCAGCAGUGCUGCUGCACCGCAAGGAAAAUUUACCCCACGU